GCCCCACUUCCCCCCUCGGCCUCCCGCCCCUGGACUCCAGGGCUGUGAGCCGGAAGCCGGGAGGGACAAAAGCGAGCAGGAAGAGGAAGACGAGGCUUCCCAGAGGUACCAGAAAGUGGAAGCCCAGUUUUCUCCACCAUGGGCUGAGAAAUUAGAUGAAAAUGAAGCUGUAUAGCCCCGGAUAUAGUUGUGUUCGUUAUAACGUCACAAGAGAUUUAAGAGAACUGGAAAAUAACAUUGUCAGAAUGGAACACAUGGCUGAACCAAGCCUGAGGAAGAACAGGGUGCCACACAGUAACAGGACGUCAUUGAGAACUAUAUUCUUCCAGACCGAUGUUGUCUUGAAAUAAUCAACUAUAUUACUUGUCCAUCAGCCGUUUAUUUCUUUGUAGCACAGGACAUGAAAACACUGAGGAAAAUUAGGUAUGAACCAACCCACCUUCUAUAAUAUUGCAACAUUACUCCCCAGUUUAACAUGUGAGCUGAUGUGUAUUAUAAAAAGCUGUUCUAGGCCAGCUGUGGUGGUGCAGGGCUUCACAAUACUGGGCCUACAUGCAAAGGACCUAAGUUUGUGUAACAAGGCCUCCUGUACAUGCCGGGUGUGCAAGUUACCCAUGUCCACGAUCUUAGCUGGCUGAAGCUGGCAUUUGAGCU